GAUGAACGCUGGCGGCGUGCCUAAUACAUGCAAGUCGAGCGAACGGAUGAGAAGCUUGCUUCUCUGAUGUUAGCGGCGGACGGGUGAGUAACACGUGGAUAACCUACCUAUAAGACUGGGAUAACUUCGGGAAACCGGAGCUAAUACCGGAUAAUAUUUUGAACCGCAUGGUUCAAAAGUGAAAGACGGUCUUGCUGUCACUUAUAGAUGGAUCCGCGCUGCAUUAGCUAGUUGGUAAGGUAACGGCUUACCAAGGCAACGAUGCAUAGCCGACCUGAGAGGGUGAUCGGCCACACUGGAACUGAGACACGGUCGAGACUCCUACGGGAGGCAGCAGUAGGGAAUCUUCCGCAAUGGGCGAAAGCCUGACGGAGCAACGCCGCGUGAGUGAUGAAGGUCUUCGGAUCGUAAAACUCUGUUAUUAGGGAAGAACAUAUGUGUAAGUAACUGUGCACAUCUUGACGGUACCUAAUCAGAAAGCCACGGCUAACUACGUG
rnacentral:rRNA from 1 species